rnacentral:rRNA from 1 species
GGAUCAAUUAGUUGGUCAUGCCGUUGGUAUGUACUGAUUUUAUUGAUUUCUCACCUUCUAAAGAACCUUAAUGUCAUUAAUUUGAUGUUUUGGGGAAUUAGGACUGUUACCUUGAAAAAAUUAGAGUGUUUAAAGCAGGCUCACGCUUGAAUACAUUAGCAUGGAAUAAUGAAAUAGGACAUCCGAUUCUAUUUUGUUGGUUUCUAGGAUCGACGUA